UUAACGAUAUAUAUAGUACUCGGACGACACGUACAUUCAGGGUCUGGGAGCCUCUGGCGGGCGCGCGCCAGCCGAAGCUAGCGGCCGGGCAGAGCCUGGCGGCCCGCCAAAGCAACGAUCGUAGUGAUGACAGUGGGUGGGAGAUCUACCCCGGGGGGCACGAACUCUGUAAUGAUCCCUCCGCAGGUUCACCUACGGAAA
rnacentral:misc_RNA from 1 species